UACAGAGGUCUCAAGCGUUGUUCGGAUUCAUUGGGCGUAAAGGGUGCGUAGGCGGCGCGGUAAGUCGGGGUGUGAAAUCUUGGAGCUUAACUCCGAAACUGCAUUCGAUACUGCCGUGCUUGAGGACUGGAGAGGAGACUGGAAUUUACGGUGUAGCGGUGAAAUGCGUAGAUAUCGUAAGGAAGACCAGUGGCGAAGGCGGGUCUCUGGACAGUUCCUGACGCUGAGGCACGAAGGCUAGGGGAGCAAACGGG
rnacentral:rRNA from 1 species